CCUAUUAGAGGGGAUUUGUUUAUCCCAACAGUAACUAAACGAUUAAUGGCACUAUUAAUGGAGGUAGAUCUAACUGUUCUUUUAUCACUUGCGACUAGAACUCGAGUUAGUAAAUAUUUUCACUGGAUUUUGCUCCAUUAGAUGCACCGGAAGGUUAUAUUUCCUGUUGGAUUUAGAGCCAUAUACAUCAAGUGUAUUCACCAUUUCUGAAAUAUAUGCACAUGUAUUCCUUUUAAUACAGGUAUACAUACAACUCUUUACAAAAUAUAAACUUGCCAACCUGCAAAUUUGUUUGUCUUUGUAGGUGGAAAUAAGUAUGGAUGUGCACGAUCACCUAAUUUUUUCAUAUAAAACUUACUUGUUUGUUUAGUUUUUUUUCAGAAAAGCAGAAUUUCUCUAAAACAGGCGAAGUUUUGAAAUAUUGCUCCGUUCCAGAGCAUAUUUCAGAAGUGCUCCGGACCAUAGCGCUUUUGUUUUCAGCAAGACACAGCCAGAGUCACCGUUAUUAUCCGGAAAAAAAUUAUAUUGUCAGUUUAAAAUUUGAUGGUUAUUUAGAAACUAAUGAAUUGUAGCCAAGAAAAAUGAUUCGCAAAUCAUUUAGACAAUUUUAAGUGAAAUGCCCCGUCCCUUAGCACAACAUUUUGUGACCAACAAAAUACGCCGUUGCACUCGGAUAUUAACAAAGUAACGACCGAAACAUUACCUGAAGUGAGUCGUUUUGUUUACAAAUCCGGCUCCGUACCUUACCUUCUGGACACGUGGGUACCGAACAGUGUUUAAAGCAAAUCUUAAUUACGUUAAUAAAAUUAAUUAUAAUAACGGUAUCCUUGUUAAUAAAACAAGAUUAUUUAAAUUGUAACAUAACUUGUGUAAGGUACACUGUUCAGUGUUUACUCUCUGUUUCAAACAAUAUAUCUCACAUUAUAAUCAAUUUAUUGACAAGAAUAUAUUAUAUGAUUUUAUUCAGAUUUAGCGAUAUACUGUUUCCUGCAACGUUGUUUGUGGCACUGGUUAAUUUAUGCAAGGUUGCUUUGCUAAACAUACCUAGUGUAAAGUUAUAAUUUACCUUCAGGAUAACAAAAUACUAAGCCCGCCCGCUUAGAUCAAUAGGGAGAGCGCAGAUCUACGUAUCUCGGGAUCGUGAGUUCGAGCCCUGGGCGAGGUGUAUGUUCUCCGUGACGAUUUUUUUAUAGACAUUGCGUCUGAAACCAUUCGUCCUCCACCUCUGAUUCAUGUGGGGAAGUUGGCAGUUACUUACGGAGAACAGGUUUGUACUGGUAUAUAAUCCAAGAACACUGGUUAUGUUAACUUCCCGCCGUUACAUGACUGAAAUACUGUUGAAAAACGGCGUUCAACCCAAAACAAACAAACAAAACAAUGAAAAAUACUUACAAGACCAAUUUGAAAUUGAUUUAUACAUUUAUAUUGAUUUAUUAACAUUAUAAUAACGCUAAUAAAAGAUAAGUGCUGCAGUUUUUUACGCAUUUUUUAUUGUUUCAUCUCCAAAACCGACCAAGAUAUGCAUAAUGGACUAAAACUUACAGGGUUAUCAUUUCGGAGAACGCACAAUUGUCAUGAAAGCUCUUAAAUUAUAAUUAUAGUUCAAAAGGUUUUUUCAUGGGAACAUUUUCUUUUCAUACAGUUGGUCCUACCAGACAACUCUAAAAAUAUAUAGGAAAAAUGCAUCAUAGAUGUAGUAGUGGUAGUUCAGGUAUUAUGGUGAACACAACCAUGUUAAAGUUUCGUCUAUUUAUUUGUAGGACAGUACCAGUAUAGUACAAGAAGAAAAACCUACAACACAAAACAGUAAAAUCAGGAACAUAAAAGCAAUACGAAAUACAAUGCAACAAUAGCAGACGUGGAAAAUACAGAUCUCUCGCGAUUAAUAAGUUAGUAUUGAAUUAAAAAAGAACAAAGCGUGCCAGAAACGUCUAACAAAAGUACACUUAGAUACUAAAGAGCAAGGCGUCCAAAGGUAAGGACGUUUUGCCAAAGUACAAAGGUAGCAAGGUGUCCAAAGGUAAGGACGUUUUGCCAAGGUACAAAAGUAGUCCUUAUGGAACUUGCGUUCACUAGCAAAUGAUUCUAACGAAUGAUGUAUACAGGGCCAUGUAGAUGUUAGUUCGCGCCAAAAAAUGCUAUUCGUGCAAAAGCUUUACUGACCAAUGAAGACGUGUCUCAUCUUUUACAAAACAGGAUCAUAUGCACAAGUGGACACACGACUGGACAUGAUCAUACAAACACGGAGUACAAUACAAUACGACGUAACACAGAGUACAGAUAUGAUACAACGAACUACGGAGUACUAAUACGAAUGCUUUAAGAAUAUAUAAUAACUGAAUAAUUUCAUCAAUUUAAAUAAUCAAGUGAAACUUAUCUCUGCUACAUAGACGUUAUCCUUUAUCCUGCAUAAUUUCUAAAAUGGACUGGUCCCUCAUUCAGUUUCGAAGUACCGCUUAUUAUUCAAAGGGGCGUUCUUUAAACAUUUAGUGACCGAAUAGCGAACAAUACAGACCAAGGCAUUGCACUUGCCUCAAAGGUAGAAUUGCAAAAGUUUAAUGGCCUGACAACAACCUUCCAUAUGUAAAAAUAACUACAGUUGAAUAUCGUUACCUCGAUAUCGGUUAGCUCGAUACUCCGGUUAGCACGAUGUGUUUGAGUCGGUCCCGAUUUUUCCCUAUUUAUCUUAACGUAAUUAUUUAUCAUUACCUCGAUAUGAUUAGCUCGAUAUUUUGUUUAGCUCGAUGCGAUUUUUCAGUCCCGUCAACUUACCUGUACUGUUUUUACACCUUGAUUCGUCGAUAUCACAGCUUGUCAAAAAUAUCCAUGUUAUUUGUAAGGUGUGAAAAUCAACCUAUUGUUGUCCGGCGGUGUAUUAAUCAUAUUCAAGUUAGUUUGUGCGUAUGCUUUGUUUGUUAUUUAUUCUUUACUCCAAUUUAAAUGUCAGGAAGUUUGCAUUUAAUUCCCAAUAAUUAGUGUUAUAAAACACUGUGCAAGCAGGAAAGCUGUUUUCAAAUAUAACAACUAAUUUGGAUGAAAGAUUUUUUGUUUGACGGAGUAAAAUCUGCCAUUUAGGACUGAGUAAAAAUAUUUAACUGGCAAAGUUUCGUUAUUUAAACACAGUCAAAAUGACUAUAGUGCAUAUUUUCUCACCUGGCGGAGAUAUUUAUAGAAAGGUCAUAAAUGGGCCAUUCUAUCAUUUAGUUUAGGGUAAUCGCGACUACAUCGUUAGAUUUGGUUUCAUUCCAUACGAAUAAAUCCGAUAUGCACAAGUUACCUAUUGUUUUUAAUGGUACAGUAUGUACUAAAAAUAUCUUCGCCAGGUCAGAAAAUAUGCACUAUACUCAACUAGGAACGUUACCGCUGCAUUCAGACUUGUUUAGGGAAGGAUUAAAAAUGUUAAUGUUUAAAUGUAUAUUUUGAAACAAUUAAAAGUUCUAUGUAUGUAUUUAAUUAGAUGGGUUUUUUUUGUAAAUAAAAUUAAAAUCGUA